rnacentral:sRNA from 1 species
GUCGUGAGAUGUUGGGUUAAGUCCCGCAAUGAGCGCAACCCCUACUGUGUGUUGUAUCACUCACACGGGACUGCCGAGAGAAACUCGGAGGAAGGUGGGGAUGACGUCAAGUCAGCAUGGCCCUUACGUCCUGGGCUACACCCACGCUACAAUGGCCGGUACAACGGGCGGCGAAACCGCGAGGUGGAGCUAAUCCCUUAAAGCCGGUCUCAGUUCGGAUUGCAGGCUGCAACUCGCCUGCAUGAAGCCGGAGUUGCUAGUAACCGCCGGUCAGCAUACGGCGGUGAAUAUGUUCCCGGGCCUUGUACACACCGCCCGUCACGUCAUGGAAGCCGAUAACACCCGAAGCCGGUGGGCCAACCGUAAGGAGGCAGCCGUCGAAGGUGGGAUUGGUGACUGGGACGAAGUCGUAACAAGGUAGCCGUACCGGAAGGUGCGGCUGGAUCACCUCCUUUCUAGGGAGAGGGGAGUCGGAACCAUCGGUAGGGUUCCGACGCUAAUCACCCUCCCAGGUUGAUCGUCCGAUCUUCGCCGAGUGCCCGCUGGGUGGGACUCGGGUCUUCGUUUCGGCGAAGGCGAUCGUGGCGACCCAGCAACCAAUACCGAAUUUCUCGCUCGCCAACCCAAAGUUGGCUUCCUGCCACUCUUCAAGUGUCUAAGGUGCAGUCGGCGCCCGUCCCUCUCGGACGAAACCGCCGGCGUUCCCGGCGGGCGUUUAGCUCAGCUGGUUAGAGCACUGCCCUGAUAAGGCAGAGGUCUCUGGUUCGAGUCCAGAAACGCCCACCAUCAACCAAGUCGUCUCACGGGGACGUAGCUCAGUUGGAAGAGCAUCUCCUUUGCAAGGAGAGGGUCAGGAGUUCGAGUCUCCUCGUCUCCACCACUUCCAGCCCGCCACAGAUCCGGACCUGGCAGAUCGUCAAAGCGGAACGACCUACACACUGCGCCAAUUCCACAGCAACAAACUGAAUAUCGGGUAGACCCCAACAGGCUUCGUAGGAAACAGACGCUGUCUCAACAGACGGCUCGAGGGUCCUCGAGCCGUCUUGGGUGUGUCUAGGCCGGCACUCCCCUGAUGAGUGGGUUCGAGCGGGAAGCUCGAGAGCACUGACCAGCGGAACGCCACCCGCAAGACGAAGGACUACAACCGCGGUAACGCGGUGGUCGACCGGAGUUGCGCAGCAAGUCGGCAACGACUUACUGAGGUAAAGCGCUCACUGGACGGCGACUAACAACCGCCAAGUGCCUCGCAUGAGGCGCACCUUAACAAGUGAAGACGUGAUCAGAUAUUGAUCUUCAAUUUCUGCCGUGAUUUAACGACAGAGGAAAUGAUGAUCCCGGACCUUCGUUCAAUGCAACCCAUUGGGUUAGUUGUUGACGGAGGUCAAGCUACACAGUGCACGAGGUGGAUGCCUUGGCGCCAAGAGCCGAUGAAGGACGUGGUAGGCAGCGAAAUGCCUCGGGGAGCAGCGAGCAUGCUUUGAUCCGAGGAUGU